UACAGAGGGUGCGAGCGUUGUUCGGAAUUAUUGGGCGUAAAGGGCGCGUAGGCGGCGCCACAAGUCACCUGUGAAAACUCUGGGCUCAACCCAGAGCCUGCAGGCGAAACUGUGGUGCUGGAGUAUGGGAGAGGUGCGUGGAAUUCCCGGUGUAGCGGUGAAAUGCGUAGAUAUCGGGAGGAACCCCUGUGGCGAAAGCGGCGCACUGGACCAUAACUGACGCUGAGGCGCGAAAGCUAGGGGAGCAAACAGG
rnacentral:rRNA from 1 species